ensembl:lncRNA JPX JPX transcript, XIST activator
AGUACACUAUCCCAACCAGACUAUUCACACUGUUACAGUCUAGAUACAGAAUGGUUUCAUGAUAAGGUAGUGAGACAUUUUAAGAUAUAUUCCCUGUGGAUUUGGCAUUCAUUGAUUACCCUUUUCCUUGCUCAUUCUUUACCUUGGUUACUUUGCAACUGUAGUACUCCUGCUAGAUUUACUAGUCAGGCCUUAGCAAAAUACUGUAAGCACAAGACCUCCCUUCUCCCUUAUUUGUUUAGUACCAUGAGGGACUCAUAUUCCUACCCUUUUUUUUUUGAGAUGGAGUUCGCUCUUGUUGCCCAGGCUGGAAUGCAAUGGCAUGACCUUGGCUCACUGCAACCUCUGCCUCCCCAGUUCAAGUGGUUCUCCUGCCUCAGCCUCCCGAGUAGCUGAGAUUACAGGUACUGGCUCCUGUAUCACCCAGCUCUGGAGUUGAAAGAGCUCUUCAUUCCUGAGUCUCCUGUACCACUGAGAAUAGGCUGGAGUGCAGUGGCGCAAUCUCGGCUCUCUGCAACCUUCACCUCCCGUGUUCAAGUGAUUCUCCUGCCUCAGCCUCCUGAAUACCUGAGAUUACAAGCAUGCACCACCACGCCCGUCUAAUUUUGUAUUUUCACUAGAGACGGGGUUUCUCCAUGUUGGUCAGGCUGGUCUCGAACUCCCGACCUCAGGUGAUCCGCCCGCCUCAGCCUCCCAAAGUGCUGGGAUUACAGGCAUGAGCCACCGCGUCCAGCAAGAAUAGGUGAUUUUCAAACUUGGAAACAUUCAGAAGUUAUCGCCUCAGUUUCAGAUUGAGUAGUCUCAAAGAGAUUACAGACAUCUACCACAAAUUCUCUACUUGGUGUGGUGCAAAAUCAGUAUGAUGUAAACUUUGUCUCUCAGUUUCUUCAAAGGAAAGAAGCAACUGGAACACACAUAUAACACUAACCCUUCCAGCUGCAUUAUGAGGGACCAGUACCUGUCUCAAGGCAAAAUUAUGACUUAGUUCAUCCUCACCUCUGGAGGCCAGUAAAAGUGGGUUAUAGAAGAACAAAGAGGCAUCUAGAUCUUUCACUGGGUUAUUUGGAGAGAAACAUCUCCUACCGAAGGCCAGUUUAACAAGACUGGUAGAGGAGGUUAUCUUAUCUAAUUCACAGAAAUCAACACAUUGAGUCAAGAAAAAUGAAACACAGAAACACUCUAAAUAAAAGAAGAUAAGUCUUCAGAAACCAACCCUAAUGAAA